UACGUAGGGGGCUAGCGUUGUUCGGAAUUACUGGGCGUAAAGGGCGCGUAGGCGGCCUGCUAAGUCGGAUGUGAAAUCCCUCGGCUCAACCGAGGAACUGCAUCCGAUACUGGCGGGCUUGAAUCCGGGAGAGGGAUGUGGAAUUCCAGGUGUAGCGGUGAAAUGCGUAGAUAUCUGGAGGAACACCGGUGGCGAAGGCGGCAUCCUGGACCGGUAUUGACGCUGAGGCGCGAAAGCUAGGGGAGCAAACGGG
rnacentral:rRNA from 1 species